rnacentral:rRNA from 1 species
UACGAAGGGGGCUAGCGUUGUUCGGAAUUACUGGGCGUAAAGCGCGCGCAGGCGGUUCUUUCAAGUCAGAGGUGAAAGCCCAGAGCUCAACUCUGGAAUGGCCUUUGAGACUAGAGAACUAGGGUACGGGAGAGGUGAGUGGAAUUCCGAGUGUAGAGGUGAAAUUCGUAGAUAUUCGGAAGAACACCAGUGGCGAAGGCGGCUCACUGGCCCGUUACCGACGCUCAGGCGCGACAGCGUGGGGAGCAAACAGG